rnacentral:rRNA from 1 species
AUACGGAGGAUCCGAGCGUUAUCCGGAUUUAUUGGGUUUAAAGGGUGCGUAGGCUGACUGAUAAGUCAGCGGUGAAAAGCAUAGGCUUAACCUAUGUCUUGCCCGUUGAUACUGUCAGACUAGAAUAUAAAUGGAGUAGGCGGAAUGAAUCAUGUAGAGGUGACAUUCAUAGAUAUGAUUUAGAACACCGUUCGCGAAGGCGGCUUACUAAGAUAUAAUUGACGCUGAUGCACGAAAGCGUGGGUAUC